CCAGUUCUGCGGCCUUUCCAGCUUGGGACUUCAGGAGUUCCUGUGAAGGGCUUUUGACCCCAUCCCAAGCCUACCUGGAGAUUUCCUGAUGCUGGGGACCCUGGAGAUGUUGCUGUUUCCCUUGGCUUCCCUGAGAAAAGCUCCCCUCUCCAUGUGGGGCCUGGCCUCUAUUUCCUGCCAGCCUUCCCUCCCCUGCCCCUUCUGUGCCUUCCCGUGCAGUGUCACCCCCAUCUUCACGCUGUCCAGCGUGUCUGGGGAGAGUCUGGACCUCCUCAAAGUCUUCUUGAACAUCCUGCCCCCGCUCACCAACAGCAAAGAGCAAGAAGAGCUCAUGCAGCAGUUGACAGAAUUCCAGGUGGAUGAAAUCUACACCGUACCAGAGGUGGGGACUGUCGUUGGAGGGACACUUUCCAGGUGAAGUGCCUUGUUUGCUACCCGCUCAGCCCUCUCGUAGCCCUGUACGCAGACGUCCUGGCCCGAAGGAGGAGCCCCUGGAGCUAAACAGCCCUCCUCAGAAAUCCUUGCUUGGAGAUUAGGCUUUCACUAGGGGAGAGCUGGAAGCUGGUCGCUUACCGCUGCCUCCCAGGACUCGCCAGGGCCCUGAGGGAGAAGUGUGGGUCAUGGGCCACAGGAAGAAACCUAGAGUGCAUUCAGUUGACCACGUCUCACAUAGGGAACUGGGAAGAGGACUGCUGAAGCACAGGGUGAAACCCAAGGGGACCACUUGCUCCCUCAAGGACCAGGUGUUGGGUGUUACUAGGCCCAUGGGUGCCCCACUGGCGCUGUCACUGAAGCCUCUUCUGGUGUCAGCCUUCAGAGUGAAUACUGGGCCAGCCAGGCAGCCACCCAUACCCGUGUCUGAAUUAGGGCUCCUGUUUCCUACUUGAGGAACUCAGCCCCGGAAGGGAAAGCAUGCUUGGGGUGACCCUAAUGAAG
rnacentral:lncRNA from 1 species